rnacentral:rRNA from 1 species
AUGUGUUUGCUAUGCUCCUUGCUAGCCGUCCUGAUGGUUGCCAUGGCAACCGCUAGCGACGAGGCCGCGCUGCUAGCUUUCAAAGCACAGAUCAACCAUGGUGGCUUGCUGGCCUCCUGGAAUAGGAGCGCCGGCUUCUGCAGCUGGGAAGGCGUGACGUGCAGCCGUCGGAGGCCGGCGUGGGUGGUGGCGUUGCUAUUGAACGGCACUGGGCUCGCCGGGGCACUCUCCCCGGCCAUCGGGAACCUCACGUUCCUGCGGACGCUCGACCUGAGCUUCAACUCGCUCCAUGGGGGCAUUCCGGCAAGCCUCGGCCGCCUACAGGGGCUCUACUUGGACGACAAUGCAUUCUCCGGCACCUUCCCAGUGAACCUGAGCUCAUGCGUCAGCAUGAACGAAAUGGUACUGGACAACAACAAGAUUGGCGGGCGCAUCCCGGCUGAGCUCGGUGAGAAGCUGACAUCCUUGACAGAGUUCUCGCUGAGUAACAACAGCUUCACAGGGCACAUCCCGGCAUCACUGGCCAAUCUAUCCCAUCUACAAAUCCUCGAUCUCACCAGUAACCAGCUCGUGGGCUCGAUCCCACCGGGCCUCGAAAGCAUCCAGAACAUGCAAUAUUUCAGUCUCUACGACAACCUCCUCUCUGGUAUGCUCCCACUUUCUCUCUACAACUGGUCAUCAUUGGAAGUACUUGAUGUAGCUCUAAAUAUGUUAUAUGGAACCAUUCCGGAUGAUAUUGGAAGCAAGUUCCCCAAGAUGAAAGCUCUAAGCUUAUCUUCCAAUCACUUCAGUGGGCCCCUCCCCUCAUCAAUAUCCAAUAUGUCUGAUCUCACAAGAAUUUUUCUCUGGAAAAAUAGAUUUAGUGGGUAUGUGCCUCCCACAUUGGGGAGACUGGGAGUUCUCCAAUAUCUGAACUUGGCUGACAAUCGGCUCGAAGCAAAUGACAACAAGGGAUGGGAAUUCAUCACCUCUCUGGCAAACUGCAGCCGACUGCAGAUAUUAGAACUCAGCGUCAAUCCUUUAGGUGGACAACUACCAGGUUCAAUUGUCAACCUAUCAACGACUCUCCGGGACUUAAGUUUAACUGACAAUAUGAUCUCCGGGGUUAUUCCUGCGUACAUAGGCAAUCUGGUUGGUCUCACAAGACUUGUGUUAGCAAAUACUUCCAUAUCCGGAGUUAUUCCAGAGAGCAUUGGCAAGCUCAAGAGCUUGAUCCAGCUAGGCUUGUACAACAAUAGCUUGUCUGGCUCCAUACCGCCGUCGCUAGGAAACCUUUCACAGUUGAAUGGGCUUAUUGCAAACAAUGGCAACUUGGAGGGGCCAAUUCCAGCAAGCCUAGGGAAGUUGAAAAAUCUUUUUGAACUUGAUUUGUCAAUGAAUUACAGACUUAACGGUUCAAUACCCAGAGAGAUCUUCAAAUUACCCAGUCUCUCUUCGUUUUUGGACUUGUCAUACAAUUCCCUUUCUGGACCCCUUCCUAAUGAAGUUGGUAGUUUGGCAAACCUUAACCGACUGAUUCUAUCAGGAAACCAGCUGUUUGGCAAGAUACCUGACGGUAUUCAGAAUCGCAUAGUGUUGGAAUGUCUGUUAUUAGACAAUAAUUCCUUUUAA